rnacentral:rRNA from 1 species
GACGAACGCUGGCGGCGUGCUUAACACAUGCGAGUCGAACGGAAAGGCCCUGCUUUUGUGGGGUGCUCGAGUGGCGAACGGGUGAGUAACACGUGAGUAACCUGCCCUUGACUUUGGGAUAACUUCAGGAAACUGGGGCUAAUACCGGAUAGGAGCUCCUGCUGCAUGGUGGGGGUUGGAAAGUUUCGGCGGUUGGGGAUGGACUCGCGGCUUAUCAGCUUGUUGGUGGGGUAGUGGCUUACCAAGGCUUUGACGGGUAGCCGGCCUGAGAGGGUGACCGGCCACAUUGGGACUGAGAUACGGCCCAGACUCCUACGGGAGGCAGCAGUGGGGAAUAUUGCACAAUGGGCGGAAGCCUGAUGCAGCAACGCCGCGUGCGGGAUGACGGCCUUCGUGUUGUAAACCGCUUUCGCCUGUGACGAAGCGUGAGUGACGGUAAUGGGUAAAGAAGCACCGGCUAACUACGUG